AAUAUACUACCUCCGUUUCAAAAUUCUUGUCUUAGAUUUGUCUAAAUACGGAUGUAUCAAGUCAUAUUUUAGUAUUAGAUACAUCCGUAUCUAGAUAAAUUUAAGACAAGAAUUUUGGGAUGGAGGGAGUAUCUA
rfam:Triticum urartu cultivar G1812 contig857873, whole genome shotgun sequence.